UUGAACGCUGGCGGCAUGCCUUACCCAUGCAAGUCGAACGGUAACAGGUUAAGCUGACGAGUGGCGAACGGGUGAGUAAUGUAUCGGAACGUGCCCAGUCGUGGGGGAUAACUGCUCGAAAGAGCAGCUAAUACCGCAUACGACCUGAGGGUGAAAGCGGGGGAUCGCAAGACCUCGCGCGAUUGGAGCGGCCGAUAUCAGAUUAGGUAGUUGGUGAGGUAAAGGCUCACCAAGCCGACGAUCUGUAGCUGGUCUGAGAGGACGACCAGCCACACUGGGACUGAGACACGGCCCAGACUCCUACGGGAGGCAGCAGUGGGGAAUUUUGGACAAUGGGCGCAAGCCUGAUCCAGCCAUGCCGCGUGCGGGAAGAAGGCCUUCGGGUUGUAAACCGCUUUUGUCAGGGAAGAAAAGGUUCUGGCUAAUACCUGGGACUCAUGACGGUACCUGAAGAAUAAGCACCGGCUAACUACGUG
rnacentral:rRNA from 1 species